rnacentral:rRNA from 1 species
GACGAACGCCGGCGGCGUGCUUAACACAUGCAAGUCGAACGAAGAGCGAUGGAAGCUUGCUUCUAUCAAUCUUAGUGGCGAACGGGUGAGUAACGCGUAAUCAACCUGCCCUUCAGAGGGGGACAACAGUUGGAAACGACUGCUAAUACCGCAUACGAUCUGACCUCGGCAUCGAGGAUAGAUGAAAGGUGGCCUCUAUUUAUAAGCUAUCACUGAAGGAGGGGAUUGCGUUUGAUUAGCUAGUUGGAGGGGUAACGGCCCACCAAGGCGAUGAUCAGUAGCCGGUUUGAGAGGAUGAACGGCCACAUUGGGACUGAGACACGGCCCAGACUCCUACGGGAGGCAGCAGUGGGGAAUCUUCCGCAAUGGACGAAAGUCUGACGGAGCAACGCCGCGUGAGUGAUGACGGCCUUCGGGUUGUAAAGCUCUGUUAAUCGGGACGAAAGGC